CUUAAGCAUAUCAAUAAGCGGAGGAAAAGAAACUAACAAGGAUUCCCCUAGUAACUGCGAGUGAAGCGGGAAGAGCUCAAAUUUAAAAUCUGGCGUGCCUCUGGUCGUCCGAGUUGUAGUCUGGAGAAGCGUUUUCCGUGUUGGACCGUGUAUAAGUCUCUUGGAACAGGGCGUCAUAGAGGGUGAGAAUCCCGUCUUUGACACGGACUACCAAUGCUUUUGUGAUGCGCUCUCAAAGAGUCGAGUUGUUUGGGAAUGCAGCUCAAAAUGGGUGGUAAAUUCCAUCUAAAGCUAAAUAUAGGCGAGAGACCGAUAGCGAACAAGUACCGUGAGGGAAAGAUGAAAAGCACUUUGGAAAGAGAGUUAAACAGUACGUGAAAUUGCUGAAAGGGAAACGCUUGAAGUCAGUCAUGUCUGCCAGGACUCAGCCUUGCUUCUGCUUGGUGCACUUUCUGGUUUGAUGGGCCAACAUCAAUUUUGACCGUUGGAGAAAGGCUCUGGGAACGUGGCACCUUCGGGUGUGUUAUAGCCCUUUGUUGUAUACAACGGUUGGGAUUGAGGACCGCAGCACGCCUUUAUGGCCGGGGUUCGCCCACGCACGUGCUUAGGAUGUUGGCAUAAUGGCUUUAAGCGACCCGUU
rnacentral:rRNA from 1 species